AGGGUGCAAGCGUUGUCCGGAAUUAUUGGGCGUAAAGAGAUCGUAGGCGGUCUGUAGCGUCGGCGGUGAAAACUCGGGGCUCAACCCCGAGCCUGCAGUCGAUACGGGCAGACUAGAGUGCGGUAGGGGAGACUGGAAUUCCUGGUGUAGCGGUGAAAUGCGCAGAUAUCAGGAGGAACACCGGUGGCGAAGGCGGGUCUCUGGGCCGUAACUGACGCUGAGGAGCGAAAGCGUGGGGAGCGAACAGG
rnacentral:rRNA from 1 species